UACGAGUGCUCCAAGCGUUAUCCGGAAUUAUUGGGCGUAAAGGGUGUGUAGGUUGUCUUGUUAGUCAGAUGUUAAAAUUCUCCGCUUAACGGAGAAAGGGCAUUUGAAACGGCAAGACUAGAAGAUGCGAGAGGUCUGCAGAACUCAUGGUGUAGGGGUGAAAUCCGUUGAUAUCGAUGGGGAAUGACCAAAUGCGAGGCAGCAGACUGGCGCACUCUUGACACUGAAACACGAAAGCGUGGGUAGCGAACG
rnacentral:rRNA from 1 species